GGGGAAUAAUGUACAAUAGGCGCAAACCUGCUCCAGCCACGCCGCGUGGGUGAAGAAGGGCUUCGGGUUGUGAAGCCCUUUUUUCGGGGCAGAAAAAGAACCGGGGGAUACCCGGUUGUUCUGACGGUUCUCCAAUACUACACACCGGCACAACUCGUGCCAGCAGCCGCGGUAAUACGAAGGGUGCAAGCGUUACUCGGAAUUACUGGGCGUAAAGCGUGCGUAGGUGGUGGUUUAAGUCCGUUGUGAAAGCCCUGGGCUCAACCUGGGAACUGCAGUGGAUACUGGAUCACUAGAGUGUGGCAGAGGGUAGUGGAAUUCCCGGUGUAGCAGUGAAAUGCGUAGAGAUCGGGAGGAACAUCAGUGGCGAAGGCGACUGCCUGGGCCAACACUGACACUGAGGCACGAAAGCGUGGGGAGCAAACA
rnacentral:rRNA from 1 species